rnacentral:rRNA from 1 species
CCCUAUUAUUUUUAAUGUAACAUUAAAUAUAAGGUAGUAUCAGUUAAGGUCAGGAAACUUAAAGAAUUUGGCGGUGUUUAUUCAUAUUAGAGGAAUAUGUUUUUUAAAUGAUAAUUCCCAAAAAUCUUACUUAAUUUUUUUAUUUUGUAUAUCUCCGUCUAAAAAAGUUUUUUAAAAAUAUAUUUUGAUAAUCUUUAAAGGUAUAAGUCAGGUCUAGGUGCAGGUUAUAUUUAAGUAAAAAUGUAUUACAAUAAAGUUAUUUAUGGAUUUACUAUGGAAUUUAGUUUAAAUAAAUUGGAUUUAAUAGUAAUAUUGUUUUUAUAAUAAUAGUUUGAAUUUAGUUAAUUAACAUGUACACAUCGCCC